GUUUUGAUGAGGGACGAUGGAUUGUUUGUUUUUACAUGAAAGAUGAAAGUUGAUAUUCUAAGUAUGAAUGACUUUAAAUGUGAUAGUUGUUGAUCUAUGAGGUGGUGAAAUGUGUUGUGAAAUUAGAAUGCCUAAGACUAAGCUAGAUGGAAUGUGCGCGAACCAUAGUUGUAAGUUGACAAUUUAUCUAUCGCUUUCCCGAGCGAUGAAAACGAACGAGAAAGGGAAGAGGGGCGAAAUUCCUAGAUUACCAAGAUACGAGACAAGGAGAUCGAGAGUGCGAAUGGAGGCCGGUGAACCAUGAAACUUUUUCUAUUCUUUGGAAUGGCGCGGAACGUUGAAGCAAGCUUAGUGUGUGAACUAUUUUACUAUUUUCUAUCGUUUUUCGUGAAUGAUAAGGACAAAAGAAAUACGAGGAAGAUUUCAAGAAGAUGAUGAUAGAGAAGACGAAAUGAAGCUUCAAAAAAAAAAGGAGCGAAACAAGAAGAGCUGAUGCUAAGUGAUGUAGCUAAAUUCUCUCCACCAUCUUCCAAAAUCAAACUACGUAUUUGCAGUGAACAUUGGCGAACUUCUGCGUAGAAGAUAAAGACGAUUUCUGCAAAACGCUUGAAGAUAUUGUAAAAAUAAUGAAUGAGUUUUUAUUUUUUUAUUGUUUUUA